rnacentral:rRNA from 1 species
UACGAAGGGGGCUAGCGUUGUUCGGAAUUACUGGGCGUAAAGCGCACGUAGGCGGAUAUUUAAGUCAGGGGUGAAAUCCCAGAGCUCAACUCUGGAACUGCCUUUGAUACUGGGUAUCUUGAGUAUGGAAGAGGUAAGUGGAAUUGCGAGUGUAGAGGUGAAAUUCGUAGAUAUUCGCAGGAACACCAGUGGCGAAGGCGGCAUCCUGGACCGGCAUUGACGCUGAGGCGCGAAAGCGUGGGGAGCGAACAGG